CCGGUUGCCGGAGCCUGGAGCCUGCGUCUUUUGUCUGCCUUGCUCCUGCGAAGGAGCGGGAGACGGCUGCGCGCCCCAAGCGGGCCAAUCAGGAGACAGCCGGCGCCGGCCGGUAAGGCGGCGAUUGGUCAGAGCCCAGUUACUAAGCGGGACAAAGGCAGAAGGGGAAAAGAAAAGAGGAGGAAAAAAAAGAAAGAAAGAAAGGAAGAAAACGCAAACGGCGGUUACUGACAGGCUGGGUAGAAGAUACUGGAAGAUCAACUCUAAUUUGUGGCUGCCUUCCCAGCAGUCUCUGCUUCAGCAUAUCUGGGAGCCAGAAGCACUCAAGUAUGAUAACUCAAAAGACAGAACAAUCAGUCAAGGGGGUAGAGGCUGCCUUCUACUCUGCUCAUCUUACGCCUCUUGGAAAGGAGACAUUCCAUGAAGAUUACUACUAUUCUCUAAACUUCAUUCGGGACCCUAUUCCUUCCCUGUUGAUGUCAGUGUGUGAAAUUCUAAAUUAUGUCGUGGUAGUAUACGUUCAAAAGCAAUAUAUUUUCAAAUAAACAAAAAAUAUAAUUGGCCAUCACAUAUACCAAAUAU